GUUUGAUCCUGGCUCAGGAUGAACGCUGGCGGCGUGCCUAAUACAUGCAAGUCGAACGAGGUGCUUUUGUAGCAAUACGAAAGUAUCCUAGUGGCGAACGGGUGAGUAACGCGUUGGUGACCUGCCCCAAAGUGUGGGAUAACAGUCCGAAAGGAUUGCUAAUACCUCAUGUGGUCAUCGGGUUUAGAAACCGAUGACUAAAGCAGCAAUGCGCUUUGGGAGGGGCCUGCGUCCCAUCAGCUAGUUGGUGAGGUAAUGGCUCACCAAGGCGACGACGGGUAGGGGACCUGAGAGGGUGGCCCCCCACAAUGGAACUGAAACACGGUCCAUACACCUACGGGUGGCAGCAGUAGGGAAUAUUGCUCAAUGGGCGAAAGCCUGAAGCAGCAACGCCGCGUGCGCGAUGAAGGUCUUCGGAUCGUAAAGCGCUUUUAUGAGGGAUGAGAAAGGACAGUACCUCAGGAAUAAGUCUCGGCUAACUACGUGCCAGCAGCCGCGGUAAAACGUAGGAGGCAAGCGUUAUCCGGAUUCACUGGGCGUAAAGCGCGUGCAGGCGGUUCGGUAAGUUGGGCGUGAAAUCUCCUGGCUUAACUGGGAGAGGUCGUCCAAUACUACCGGACUUGAGAGUGAUAGAGGAAGAUGGAAUUCCCGGUGUAGUGGUGAAAUGCGUAGAUAUCGGGAGGAACACCAGUGGCGAAAGCGAUCUUCUGGAUCAUUUCUGACGCUCAGACGCGAAAGCUAGGGUAGUAAACGGGAUUAGAGACCCCGGUAAUCCUAGCCGUAAACGAUGUAAACUUGGCGUUGGUGGCUUAAACACCAUCAGUGCCGCAGCUAACGCGAUAAGUUUACCGCCUGGGGACUAUGAUCGCAAGAUUAAAACUCAAAGGAAUUGACGGGGGCCCGCACAAGCAGCGGAGCGUGUGGUUUAAUUCGAUGCUACACGAAGAACCUUACCCGGGUUUGACAUGCAAGUGGUAGUGAUCUGAAAGGGAACG
rnacentral:rRNA from 1 species